rnacentral:lncRNA from 1 species
AAGAAAUCGGCUCGUGUGCAUGUACACGUGCACACACACACAUGUGAGCGUGUAACCAGAGUAACCAUGAAGCAGCCGCAUGUAAAUCAGUGUAGCUUGUUCCAAGCUUGACACCAACUGCCUGGUUACUGACACUUCCUACUUUCCUCCCCUGGAGAAGAGAAAAACUGAGCAAUGCCUGAAGUGCAGCUGCGACGAGUCCUUGACCGGCUAGGAAGAAGUUCACAGGCUUUGGUCACCAGCUCUGUCCACAGGGUGUGCACAGCUCACUGAGUAAUCUCAGGAACAUCCAGCAAGAAAAUUUCUGGGAAGUUUCUCAGCAAACAUUAAAGUCCUUGGUUGACGUCAGACAUCUCACAGCAGAAUCCUCUCACCACCUGGCCAGACAGUGCUCCCGGUGCCCAUUUCCCCUUUUGGUGUCUGUGUUACUGAUGUCUUUAAUCAUAUAUUCAAAUAAUUUAUUUGGCCACUUGUUUUAUGCUGAGUCUUGUG